AGAGUUUGAUCAUGGCUCAGAUUGAACGCUGGCGGCGUGCCUAACACAUGCAAGUCGAGCGGUAACAGGUGUAGCAAUACAUGCUGACGAGCGGCGAACGGGUGAGUAAUGCUUCGGAAUCUACCCAAUGGUGGGGAAUAACCAGCCGAAAGGUUGGCUAAUACCGCAUACGUCCUACGGGAGAAAGCAGGGGAUCGUAAGACCUUGCGCCAAUGGAUGAGCCGAAGUCGGAUUAGCUAGUUGGUAGGGUAACGGCCUACCAAGGCGACGAUCCGUAGCUGGUCUGAGAGGACGACCAGCCACACUGGGACUGAGACACGGCCCAGACUCCUACGGGAGGCAGCAGUGGGGAAUAUUGGACAAUGGGGGAAACCCUGAUCCAGCGACGCCGCGUGUGUGAAGAAGGCCUGCGGGUUGUAAAGCACUUUUAGUGGGGAUGAAAAGUUCAGGGCUAACACCUCUGGAUCUUGACCUAACCCACAGAAAAAGCACCGGCUAACUCUGUGCCAGCAGCCGCGGUAAUACAGAGGGUGCGAGCGUUAAUCGGAAUUACUGGGCGUAAAGCGUGCGUAGACGGUUACAUAAGUCGGGUGUGAAAGCCCCGGGCUCAACCUGGGAAUUGCACUCGAGACUGCGUAGCUAGGGUGCGGAAGAGGGAAGCGGAAUUUCCGGUGUAGCGGUGAAAUGCGUAGAUAUCGGAAGGAACACCAGUGGCGAAAGCGGCUUCCUGGUCCAGCACCGACGUUCAGGCACGAAAGCGUGGGGAGCAAACAGGAUUAGAUACCCUAGUAGUCC
rnacentral:rRNA from 1 species